CCUACGUGCGGCAGCAGUGGGGAAUAUUGCACAAUGGGGGAAACCCUGAUGCAGCGACGCCGCGUGAGUGAAGAAGUAUUUCGGUAUGUAAAGCUCUAUCAGCAGGGAAGAAGCCAGACGGUACCUGACUCAGAAGCCCCGGCUAACUACGUGCCAGCAGCCGCGGUAAUACGGAGGGGGCAAGCGUUAUCCGGAUUUACUGGGUGUAAAGGGAGCGUGGCCGGGAUGGCAAGUCUGAAGUGAAAGCCCAGGGCUUAACCCUGGGACUGCUUUGGAAACUGUUAGACUAGGGUGCUGGAGAGGGAAGUGGAAUGCCUAGGGUAGCGGUGAAAUGCGUAGAUAUUAGGAGGAACACCAGUGGCGAAGGCGGCUUACUGGACAGUAACUGACGUUGAGGCUCGAAAGCGUGGGGAGCAAACAGGAUUAGAUACCCGGGUAGUC
rnacentral:rRNA from 1 species